ACUGAAAGAAAAAAAAUUUUAGAUAGUAGCUAGUAUAAUCCAGAUUAUAAAGAGUAUAAUCCAGAUUAUAAUGAUUAUAAUCCAGAUAAUAAUGAGUAUAAUCCAGAUGAGCUUAUAUCUUUAAAAAUAUC